GCCAGGCAUGGUGGCGCAUGCCUGUAAUCCCAGCUACUUGGGAGGCUGAGGCAGGAGAAUCGCUUGAACCCAGGAGCUGGAGGUUUCGAUGAGCCGAGACUGCGCCAUUGCACUCCAGCCUGGGCAACAAGAGCGAAACUCUGCCUUAA
rnacentral:SRP_RNA from 1 species